rnacentral:rRNA from 1 species
UUAAACGGUAGGGUAUUGGCCUACCGUGGCAAUGACGGGUAACGGGGAAUUAGGGUUCGAUUCCGGAGAGGGAGCCUGAGAAACGGCUACCACAUCUAAGGAAGGCAGCAGGCGCGCAAAUUACCCAAUCCUAAUACAGGGAGGUAGUGACAAGAAAUAACAAUACAGGACUUUUUGGUUUUGUAAUUGGAAUGAGUAAGAAGUC